UGCUUGAUUCUUCAUCCUUUUCAUUUGCUUUAGGUGCUGGUUCUUCAUACCCCUUUUGGAUGAGCUCCAAGACAUCCAAAGAGGUGAAUAGAGUCUCCAUUUUAACAGCCCAAAAAUCAUAAUUCUCUCUUUCAAACAAAGGAACUUUAACAUUGCUAUAAACUGCGAAAGGGUUGGUUGUGGAAACCAUUUUUUUUGUUGUUUUUGCUGCAGCUGCAAGGAUCUGCAGCUCUGAUACCACUCUGUUGGUGGUAUUCUAGAGGUGGUAUAUAUUAUAAAUUAUAUUGUUGCAUAAUUUAGAGUAGGAUAGUAUUUUUGGGACUGAAUAUUCAUGUAUAUUUCUUAUAUAAAAUGCAUCUCAUACACAUGAAUAUAUAUAACAUGAGUAGUGAUGGUUACAACUAUCAAAGAGUCACCACUACUAGGUGUUUAAUCAAUGAUUAAACACUCCACUAAGCACUAAGUGCUUCCACUAAUAACAACGACAAUUUACUUAUGUAACUCUUCACUUACACUAGAUAAUUUUCACUAUCUUUUAACAUAUUCCACUAAAUAAGCACAUUAACUAACAAAGAGAAUCAGGAUGAAAGGGACCAGUACUUGGUACAAUGGCACUCUCAUGCAGCUGGAGGAUGAUGCUCCAAUUAUCAUGGACCCAGAAUAUCAUAACAAAUGUGUUUAUGACCUUAUGCAAGCUGCUCAUCAGUUGAAGAAGCCAGAUAUGGGAUCUGUCAUGGCAAAACAAGAUGAAGGCGCGGAAUCUGCUGCUGGAGCAUUGCCUGAGGGAAGUGGUGAAAUCAAUUAAGAGGCUGUCUUGGUUGUGGUUUUUAGGUUAAUUAAAAACGAGGGUCUUUUUGUUUGUGUUAUGAGUUGUAUGUUAACUUUCUAUAUUGUAUUUUUAGAGAUCAAAAUCUUGUAAUUGGAAAACUAUAGACAAAGUAAAAAAAAAAAAUUAAAAAAAUGUUGAUCAUUUUGCA